GUGAGGAAUAUUGCGCAAUGGAGGCAACUCUGACGCAGCCAUGCCGCGUGCAGGAAGAAGGCGCUACGCGUUGUAAACUGCUUUUAACCGGGAAGAAACCCCAGGACGUGUCCUGGGUUGACGGUACCGGAGGAAUAAGCACCGGCUAACUUCGUGCCAGCAGCCGCGGUAAUACGAAGGGUGCAAGCGUUAUCCGGAUUCAUUGGGUUUAAAGGGUGCGUAGGCGGAGCGUUAAGUCAGUGGUGAAAUCCUGCAGCUUAACUGUAGACUUGCCAUAGAUACUGGCGCUCUUGAGUGCGCUUGAAGUGGGCGGAAUGUGCCGUGUAGCGGUGAAAUGCUUAGAUAUGGCACAGAACACCAAUUGCGAAGGCAGCUCACUAAGGCGAUACUGACGCUGGGGCACGAAAGCGUGGGGAUCGAACAGGAUUAGAUACCCUGGUAGUCC
rnacentral:rRNA from 1 species